rnacentral:rRNA from 1 species
UACGUAGGGUGCAAGCGUUGUCCGGAAUUAUUGGGCGUAAAGAGCUCGUAGGCGGUCUGUCGCGUCUGCUGUGAAAACUCAGGGCUUAACCCUGAGCUUGCAGUGGGUACGGGCAGACUAGAGUGCGGUAGGGGAGACUGGAAUUCCUGGUGUAGCGGUGAAAUGCGCAGAUAUCAGGAGGAACACCGAUGGCGAAGGCAGGUCUUUGGGCCACUACUGACGCUGAGAAGCGAAAGCAUGGGGAGCGAACAGG